UACGUAGGUGGCGAGCGUUGUCCGGAUUUACUGGGCGUAAAGAGCGCGCAGGCGGUCGUACAAGUCGCGUGUGAAAGCCCCCGGCUCAACUGGGGAGGGUCACGCGAUACUGUUCGACUCGAAGGCAGGAGAGGGAAGUGGAAUUCCCGGUGUAGUGGUGAAAUGCGUAGAUAUCGGGAGGAACACCAGUGGCGAAGGCGGCUUCCUGGCCUGUUCUUGACGCUGAGGCGCGAAAGCUAGGGGAGCAAACGGG
rnacentral:rRNA from 1 species